GUGGAUUAGAUACCCUGGUAGUCCACGCCGUAAACGAUGGAUGCUAGCUGUAAGAGGUAUCGACCCCUCUUGUAGCGAAGCUAACGCGUUAAGCAUCCCGCCUGUGGAGUACGGUCGCAAGACUAAAACAUAAAGGAAUUGACGGGGACCCGCACAAGCGGUGGAGCGUGUUGUUUAAUUCGAUGGUAAACGAAGAACCUUACCCAGGUUUGACAUCCUUGGAAUUUUGCCGAAAGGCGAGAGUGCUUUAUUGAGCCAAGUGACAGGUGUUGCAUGGUCGUCGCCAACU
rnacentral:rRNA from 1 species